rnacentral:snRNA from 1 species
UCACUUUGGCAAUGCAUAUACUAACAUUGAAAAAACACAGAGUAGCCUGGCCCAGGCACAAGGAUGACAUGCACAUUCACAAUGUGCUCCAUAUGAAG